GUGCACUCUUCAGCAGCACAAAUUCUAAAAUCAGAACAAUAAAGAGAAAAUUAGCAUGGCCCUUGCGCAAAGAUGCCCUUUAGUAGGUGAAUAUAUAAACUGUGGU
ensembl:snRNA U6 U6 spliceosomal RNA